rnacentral:rRNA from 1 species
GCCUAAUUACAGCCCAGCUAAUUUUACUAAAAUAUUUCAUUAACUUAAAACAAAUCAUUUGAUUAAAAAAGUAUUUGAGAAAGAACUUUAAAGUCGGCGCAGUAAUUACCGCAAGGGACGACUGAAAGAAAAAUGAAACACUAACGCAAAACAAAGCAAAGCUUAAUCCUUGUACCUUUUGCAUCAUGAUUUAGCAAGCAAACUCAGACAUAGAGCCCUAAAGCCUGGCUUCCCGAAACUCCGUGAGCUACUUCAAGGCAAUACAUGAAUC